UUAAUUGGUGGUCGGUUUGGGCAGCGAUGCUUUGGGCAAUUUGGAGGCACAGAAACGAUGUUCUUUUCAAUGAGAUCAACCGGGAUAUAGAAACUGUGUUUGAUGACUGCAAGUAUAAAUGUUGAUGUUGGAAUAAGUCCAAGGUAUCGGGUUUUGAGUUCCCAUUAUAGGUGUGGAUGAUGGAUGUGAACAAUACGCAGGAACAAUUACAUGGAGGUUACAGAGAGGAAGAUUGAGAUUAUGGAUACGAAUUGGGAUGGGAAUGUAUCUGGGAGAAAAGGAAAUUAUCUUGCUGAAUUUAAUGACAUAUCAGAAAAUUGUGGCAAUUUUGCCUUAAAACACGUUGUAAU
rnacentral:lncRNA from 1 species